rnacentral:rRNA from 1 species
AGAGUUUGAUCCUGGCUCAGGAUAAACGCUGGCGGCGUGCCUAAAACAUGCAAGUCGAACGGUCACCCUUCGGGGUGGUAGUGGCGAACGGCUGAGUAACACGUGGGUGACCUGCCCUCGAGCGGGGGAUAACUGCCCGAAAGGGUGGCUAAUACCGCAGAUGUCACGGGGUCGAACCGGUGACUGAACCUCCGGGGUUCGAGGAGGGGCCCGCGGCCGAUUAGCUCGCUGGUGGGGUAACGGCCUACCAGGGCAUCGAUCGGUAGCUGGUCUGAGAGGAUGAUCAGCCAGACUGGGACUGCGAACGGCCCAGACUCCUACGGGAGGCAGCAGUUAGGAAUUUUGGGCAAUGGGCGGAAGCCUGACCCAGCAACGCCGCGUGGGUGAUGAAGGCCCUCGGGUCGUAAAGCCCUUUUCCCAGGGAAGACGAUGACGGUACCUGGGGAAUCAGCCCCGGCUAACUACGUGCCAGCAGCCGCGGUAAUACGUAGGGGGCAAGCGUUGUCCGGAUUUAUUGGGCGUAAAGCGCUCGCAGGUGGUUCGUUGCGUCGUGCGUGAAAGGCCCCGGCUCAACCGGGGAGGGUCGUGCGAUACGGGCGGACUGGAGGCCAGUAGGGGGAUGCGGAAUUCCGGGUGUAGUGGUGGAAUGCGUAGAGAUCCGGAGGAACACCAGCGGCGAAGGCGGCAUCCUGGACUGGUCCUGACACUCAGGAGCGAAAGCGUGGGGAGCGAUCCGGAUUAGAUACCCCAGUAGUCC